GACGAACGCUGGCGGCGUGCUUAACACAUGCAAGUCGAACGGAAAGGCCCUGCUUUUGUGGGGUGCUCGAGUGGCGAACGGGUGAGUAACACGUGAGUAACCUGCCCUUGACUUUGGGAUAACUUCAGGAAACUGGGGCUAAUACCGGAUAGGAGCUCCGGCUGCAUGGUGGGGGUUGGAAAGUUUCGGCGGGUGGGGAUGGACUCGCGGCUUAUCAGCUUGUUGGUGGGGUAGUGGCUUACCAAGGCUUUGACGGGUAGCCGGCCUGAGAGGGUGACCGGCCACAUUGGGACUGAGAUACGGCCCAGACUCCUACGGGAGGCAGCAGUGGGGAAUAUUGCACAAUGGGCGGAAGCCUGAUGCAGCAACGCCGCGUGCGGGAUGAAGGCCUUCGGGUUGUAAACCGCUUUCGCCUGUGACGAAGCGUGAGUGACGGUAAUGGGUAAAGAAGCACCGGCUAACUACGUG
rnacentral:rRNA from 1 species